UUUGUUGAUUAUCUUGUUUUAUUAUUUUGUGGUUAUUUAUUUGUUAAUUAAAGUAUUAUUUUGUUGUUGUAUUUUUUUGAUUUAAUUUUUUUACUAUAGGUUAUUUGUACCGUGAGGGGUUGUGAAGUUUAAUAUUUUUUUAGAAGUUGAUUUUGUUUGUCGUACCUUGUGUAUCAGGGUUCAUUGAAUUUUAUUAUUUAUUUUUAUUUCCCGAUUUUAAAGGAGUUAAUGGCUUAUGUUAGUUACUGUUUCAUUAGUAUUAAUAAUAGGUGGUUGGUAGUGAAAUGUUAUUCGUCUUUAGUGGUUUCUGGUUUUUCAAGAAAUGAAUUUAAUUCAUACAUCUUAUUUAAUUUCUGUUGUUGAUUUAUUUAUUUUUAUUUGAUGUUAAGAUUAAGGGGGAUUAGCUCCUUGUUUUAUUUUUAUAAUUAGUUAUAGGUUUAAUUUAAUUUUGUGGAUUUUAUGGUGAUUUUCUAUUUGAUUAUGUUAAAAUUUUAUUUGUUCUUUUUUUUAUUUUUUAUUAUUUAAGUUAUUUAUUGAAAUGUUUUCUUUAUUUUUAGUUUGUAUAGUGAUUAUUGUGUAAUUAGUAAAUUUUAUUUAUUGUUUUGUUUGUGGUAGAGGUGUUAAUUAUUUUUGAGGAAUUAGGCAAAGAUUUUAUGUCCGCCUGUUUAACAAAAACAUCUUUUCUUNNNNNNNNNNNNNNNNNNNGUUUUUAUGGGACGAGAAGACCCUAUAGAGUUUAACAUUUUUCUUACUUGUGUGUAUGUUUGUUUUGUUUUAUUAAGUGGGAAUAGGCUGUUUUGUUGGGGUGAUGGGAGGAAUAAUAUUUAACUCCUCUUUGUUUUUGUAUAUUUAUUUAUAUUUUUUUGAUCCAUUUAUUUUGAUUAUAAGAUUAAAUUACCUUAGGGAUAACAGCGUUAUCCUCCUUGAGAGUUCUUAUUGGCGGGGGGGUUUGCGACCUCGAUGUUGGAUUAAGGUGAAUUUUCGGUGCAGGAGCUGAAAGUGAUUAGGUCUGUUCGACCUUUAAAAUCUUACAUGAUCUGAGUUCAGACCGGCGUGAGCCAGGUUGGUUUCUAUCUAUAGAGUUGUUUUAUAUCUUAGUACGAGAGGACCGGAUAU
rnacentral:rRNA from 1 species